UACGUAGGGGGCUAGCGUUGUCCGGAUUUAUUGGGCGUAAAGAGCUCGUAGGCGGCUUGUUGCGUCGACCGUGAAAACCCGGGGCUCAACUUCGGGCUUGCGGUCGAUACGGGCGGGCUAGAGUUCGGUAGGGGAGACUGGAAUUCCUGGUGUAGCGGUGAAAUGCGCAGAUAUCAGGAGGAACACCGGUGGCGAAGGCGGGUCUCUGGGCCGAUACUGACGCUGAGGAGCGAAAGCGUGGGGAGCGAACAGG
rnacentral:rRNA from 1 species